CUUUAGCCCUAGGGGAUGACUUUGGCCCUAAAUUGGUUAAAGUUUAAAAUUCGCGCCACACCUCUCCUACAGUCUGUUUCGAAAAAGUACGCGUAAAAAUCAAUAGAUGGCAGCACAAGCUGCCGGUAAAACAGUGUUUCGAGCUUGUGGUCUUUUCUCUGAUUGGUUAAUUUUGUUGCUUUUGAACCAUUUGUUUUUGGAGCAAAUUUUUGUGGUGCAAACUUUCGUGUGUAACUAUUAAUUCAGGAGACUAGUCUUAAUCACAGGGACCUGUAUUCAAAAGUUGGAGCAAGCACGAAACGAAGGCAGCCCAGUUCAAAACAUCGUUAAAAAAAGAAACUGAUCGUCUCUGCUGGCCAGUCAAUUAGUGCAGCAGACAUUGCAGAAGCAACUUCAUCAGGCUUGAUGCUAAAACCACUCGCCAAGACUAAGAAACGACGACAACAGAGCCGUGAUUCUACUACAAGUUGUAGCUCUUGGAUGAGCGAAGUCUCGUCUACUCAAGAAUUACCUGAUGAUGACGUCGAGUUUGAAGACGAAUCACAAAUUAGAAUGGACAUGACCCCAGAAAAGGUUCUAGCUGAUCAACAUCUUGAAGUGAGCAAUGCUGUUGAUGUUAGCGAAGAAUCAGACGACUUUAGUAUAAAAAUGUAAAAAUAUUUAACUUAAAAUAAAAAAAAGUUACUCUA